GGGUUGCACAGUGACAGUGGUAGAUGAAAUUCUCUCCCGAAUCCCAGUUUAACACCUGUAGGGCAAAUGAAGGUGAUGACAAAGCCUUUAUUUAAGAAAUAGGCACACGAGGGAAAGAUAUCAAAAAGAAUCGACUCACCCCUCCCGGUAGCAGUGCGCAGCCCGAGCCGAGCUGAGGAAUGUGUCCCUCCCCCGUUCGUACCGCCGCGCCGCCGCACUCACACACUCACAGAGCCCACCCAUUGGUUCAGGCUGUGACCCUGGAAUUCCACUACACUCCACCCCUUCACAGCAUGAACCAAUGACUGAGCAGGUAGGGGGUGAGCCCCUGCAACCUGGUGGCCCAAGACACAAUGCGCAUCGCGACGCAUACACAACACCCGCCGCAAUAUAGGAUGUCAAAACAAUAAAGGCAAUCAGUGGCAGUCCCCUUCACGGUUCUGUUGGGCCAGUACUUGAUGUUCUUUCUCGAGGCGUAUCUUUUUCAAGGACCAGUAGCGCUUCUGAUUCAUGCUCUCCAGUCCCUAAAAGUUCAGCAGUGCGUCACAGGGUGUCAUGAUGUUUCCUCAUAAGCGUGUUUGAGUGAUGUUGCUCCUGCGGGCCAUCCUGUGAACUUAAAACCUCAAGGGGAGUAAAACAGAUGUUUAAUAGGUACGAGGAGGGGUAGGUCCGCCCUCCAUGGUAAGAUGCAGGCUGUAUUUCGGUCUUGAGUCAACACCUCUGCCUGUAUUGGGGCACGUCCUGGCCUUCGAUACCACACUCUUUGGCCCGAAAUCUGCGACUGAAUCACUAUAUCGGGUACCAAAGGGGGGGUUCUAAUUUGCCACAUGGACAUGAUUAAUGUCCCCCUUGCAAUGAAAACAGGGGUGUCAACUAUUACCUCUGUUGGCCAUACACCGAUUACUGAAGGGUUUACUGAUCCCCCAACCUCUAACAAUCUCCCCCAAGGUGCAAGGAGACCACACCAUUUUGGUCCUGCUUGCACCUUCCAAGGCCAUUUUACCUUGUGUCUCCCGGGCUCUAGGUCAUCAGGGGCAGGGAGCAG
ensembl:lncRNA